GUGGGGAAUAUUGGACAAUGGGCGAAAGCCUGAUCCAGCAAUGCCGCGUGAGUGAUGAAGGCCCUAGGGUUGUAAAGCUCUUUUACCCGGGAUGAUAAUGACAGUACCGGGAGAAUAAGCUCCGGCUAACUUCGUGCCAGCAGCCGCGGUAAUACGAGGGGAGCUAGCGUUGUUCGGAAUUACUGGGCGUAAAGCGCGCGUAGGCGGUUUUUUAAGUCAGAGGUGAAAGCCCGGGGCUCAACCCCGGAAUUGCCUUUGAAACUGGAAAACUAGAAUCUUGGAGAGGUCAGUGGAAUUCCGAGUGUAGAGGUGAAAUUCGUAGAUAUUCGGAAGAACACCAGGGGCGAAGGCGACUGACUGGACAAGUAUUGACGCUGAGGUGCGAAAGCGUGGGGAGCAAACAGGAUUAGAUACCCCGGUAGUCC
rnacentral:rRNA from 1 species